CGGACCGUGUGCUCCCAGAUGGCGUCCUCGGCGAGCAGGGCGUGGUCGCCGAGGUAGGCGCCGUCCGCCAGCACUCCGAGGGACUCGUCGUCGCCGUAGGGGCCGGUGCCGACCUUCUCCACGCGGCCGUGCGCCAGCAGAUAGACCUCGUCGGCGGGGCUGCCGAAGGAGGCGAGCACCUCGCCCGCGGCGAGUUCGCGCUGCUGACAGCGCUGGGCGAGCUCGGCGAGCACGUCCUGAUCCUCAUAAGAGCGCAGCGCGGGCAGUUCGCCCAGUUCGGCGGGGAUGACCUCGACCCGGUCACCGGUCUUCACAAAGGUGAUACGGCCGUCCCCCACGGCGUAACUGAGGCGGCGGUUGACUCGGUAAGUGCCGCCCUGCACAUUCACCCACGGCAGCAUGCGCAGCAGCCAGCGUGAGCUGAUCUCCUGCAUCUGGGGUGCGGACUUGGUCGUGGUGGCCAGGUUCCGCGCUGCGGCAGUGCCGAGACUCUGCUGCGGCUUGCUCU
rfam:Streptomyces davawensis strain JCM 4913 complete genome